rnacentral:rRNA from 1 species
AUGGCUGCCCGCGCUUCACGGCUAGCGAGGGUUGGCGCUUGUGGACUGCUUAGCUGGAACACCCCCCCGUCUCCUACUCAAAACAUCAUUCAUUCAAAGGAGCGUUGGCUGAUGAGGAAGCCAUGUUUGUUUAGAAAUCCUACUUCGUCUAUUCAGGGUGGCGAUGACAGAUCCAAUCUUCUGUGGAAUGGCCUAGCUUUUGCAGUAGCAUCAAUAUCAGCAUUGCUCUUGUCACAGGAGCGAGUCAGCGCUGCUGAUGAACCACCCAGAGAGAUCACUGCAGAGGAUAUUGCUGCUUGGAUCAGGGAACUGCCUGAUGAUGAAGAGGACCAGUUCAUCAAAAGACAGCAAUUUGAUGCAUGGGUGAAGCAGUGCAACAAGGAAUACUCCAGCUGCAAAGGGGGUCAGUUCAGCUUCGCAUUUCAAUAUAUUGAGCAGAAUGGCUUAACAACAGAACAGGAGUAUCCAUUCAAUGAGUAUGUCUAUGAAGAUGAUGUACGCGUGACAGAAUGCCAGUCUUUUGGCAAGCCUUUGAUAGCAAGAAUUGGUGGGUCUCUGAAGGUUCCGCGAUCUGAUCACUACCUGAUGAAGGCUGUUUCUAUAAAUCCUGUCGCUAUCACCAUCUUUAUUGCUCCAUCUUCUUUUGAUCAGUAUGAUGGUGGUUUGAUGACAAUUGAGAAAUACCCCCCACCUGACUCAUUUGAUGACAUUGGGGAAGGGAAGAAGUUUCAACCUCACGGUGUUCUAGUUGUUGCUUAUGGCAUAGAUGAGGAUGGAAAGAAGUUUUGGCUAUGCAAGAACUGCCAUGGUGAAGAUUUUGGAAAAAAAGGGUAUCUCUAUCUUGAGAGGGGUGUUUCUGACAGCAAGGGUGUCUGUGGGAUGCAUAUGACUCGUGGGGAAUAUCCCAUCCCUCCAUCUGGCGUAAAACACCCCAUUGAGCUUACAAUGGAACAUCGCCUACGAACAUACCUUAAAAAUCAAGAUGCUGUGCAGACGUCUGUGAAUGAAAGCAAUGACGUGCAGAAGAAGCAAAAGUGCUGGCAACCAAAAGGUCAAUGCACAGGCCUGCUUCUCUCUUGCUCUUGUUUCCUACUAUGUGUCAUCACGCCGGUGGUAGCCCACAUCCGACAUCAAGCUGAAGCACUUGUGAAUUGGAAGGCUAGCUUGGAUGAUGCCGAUGAGUCCCUCGGGCCAUGGUCGUUGGCCAACUCCACCAUCCUUUGCAAUUGGACGCACAUCACUUGCGACUCGGCCGGGCACAUCAGAGAGCUCGACCUUUCCGGUGUAAGCUUGAGUGGCACACUUGACAAAUUGGACUUCUCGGCCUUUCCCCACCUGAAGAAACUCAUCUUGUCUAGGAAUGGUCUGUACGGUUCAAUUCCAGAAGGGAUUGGCAAUCUAACAAGCUUGGUCGAGUUGCGGAUCCUCUACAACCAUUUUUCGACGGGUGCCAUUCCACGCAGCAUUGGCCAACUGAAGCACCUUGUUGUACUGCAACUGACAUAUUUGGGGCUUGAUGGCACACUACCUGAAGAGAUUGGUAACUUGACGAGCUUGGAAGAGCUCUUUCUUGACUUUGUAUCUUUGACUGGAUCAAUCCCACGGACAAUUGGGAUGCUCAUGAAGCUCCGAAUGCUUAGCCUGACGAGGAACAAUCUGACAGGGAGCAUCCCGUUGGAGAUUGGAAACAUGACAGAACUGCAGUCCAUGGGAUCUGAGGGUAACUAUUUGGAUGGGCAGCUACCAGGCACCAUCUCUCAUUUGAGGAAACUCAAGGAGUUGUUUCUGUUUGGAAAUCUGCUCAGCGGCCACAUCGUCCCCGGACUUGGGAAUAGCAGCCUUCUGCAUAGGGUCGACAUUUCAGAUAACAACUUUUCUGGGCUGUUCCCGGCGUCCAUUUGCGCAAGAGGAGCGCUGCGUACUCUCAGUGCUAGGUACAACGGAUUUUCUGGCAUCCACCACCAAGCCUUCCAAAACAGCACAACCCUGCGGUUUAUUGAUUUCACGGCAAACAACAUUGUUGCAGACCUAAGGGGUUGCAUGGGCGAGCAUCUAGGACAGCUUCACUAUAUGGCUUUCAGUCAAAACCAGUUGUAUGGCACCCUUCUGACAGACCGGGGCGAGGUAUUCUUCUGUAACUAUACUAAUUUCAGAAUCGUAGACCUAUCAGACAAUGCCUUGCAUGGAGGUCUCUCCAAGUGUUUUUGGGGCAUGCCAAGUUUGACAUUCAUAGAUCUGAGCAGCAACUCUUUGAGUGGUGUAGUUCCGUCAUCAGGGACAUGUGGAGAUAAUCUUCGCUAUCUACACCUAGCCAAUAACCAUUUCAUAGGAACCUUUCCUUUGGAUCUUGAGAAAUGUAAAAACCUGAUCACUCUAGACCUUGGAGGCAAUAAUUUCUCAGGUACAAUACCAUCUUGGAUAAGCAGCAGCUUACCUGGACUCAAAUUUCUUCGUCUGUCAUCAAACAUGUUUGAAGGUGUCAUACCCCUCCAGAUUUCACACUUUAACAAUCUCCAGAUAUUGGACUUGUCCAGAAACAAGCUCACUGGACCUGUUCCAGAUGAUUUUACGAAUUAUACUGGCAUGACACAUGUCCGUAAAUAUGUUGAGGACUAUAUAAAUACUGGCUAUGAUCUGUAUGCAUCGCGAAUUCCAAUAGUCUGGAAGAAUGUCGAGCAUGAUUACUCUCUGUUGAUAGCAGGCAUGGCCGGUAUCGACUUAUCUGGAAACUCUCUAUCACAGGAGAUCCCAAAUGGGCUCACAACCCUUGUUGGACUCAGGUACCUGAACUUAUCAGGAAAUCAUCUGUCAGGUUGUAUUCCGGAAGACAUUGGCGAUAUGGUACUGCUAGAAGCCUUGGACCUUUCUCGGAACCAACUCUCGGGGAAAAUUCCUCAAAGCCUGGCAACUUUAAAGAGCAUCAGCGUGCUGAACUUGUCGAGCAAUAGUUUGUCAGGGAGGAUACCUACAGGCGAUCAGCUACGGACACUCACAAAUCGGUCCAUAUACAGUAAUAAUCCUGGGCUAUGCGGAUUUCCGUUGGAAGACUGCAUAAACUCCUCAACACCGGCGCAAACUGAAAAAAGCCUGGAUGAAGAUAGAGAGGCAUUGUGGUUGUAUUGCUUCGUGGCUGCUGGGUUCAUCUUCGGGUUCUGGCUCUACUGGGGCAUCUUCAUGUUUCGCAGCGAGACCUGGAGGUGUGCAUUUUACCAGUAUGUGGACAACAUGCAAGCCAAGGUGACCAAGAAAGUAUACAGCUGCAUCUCCCGCUUCCGGGCCGCUGGCUCUGAAUGA